CACGGGGGGAGCAAGCGUUGUUCGGAAUCACUGGGCGUAAAGGGCGUGCAGGCGGUCAGGUAAGUGGGAUGUGAAAUGCCCCGGCUCACCCGGGGACCGGCAUCUCAUACUGCUUGGCUUGAGUACGGGAGAGGAUGUGGGAAUUCCUGGUGUAGCGGUGAAAUGCGUAGAUAUCAGGAGGAACACCGAUGGCGAAGGCAGGUCUCUGGGCCACUACUGACGCUGAGAAGCGAAAGCAUGGGGAGCGAACAGG
rnacentral:rRNA from 1 species